AAGAUUUUAAGUUAAUUAAACUAACGCCCUUCAAAGACGCAAAAAAAAGUUACAUCCUUUUAAAUCUUA
rnacentral:tRNA from 1 species